rnacentral:rRNA from 1 species
AGAGUUUGAUCCUGGCUCAGGAUGAACGCUAGCUACAGGCUUAACACAUGCAAGUCGAGGGGAAACGAUAUUGGAAGCUUGCUUCCGAUAGGCGUCGACCGGCGCACGGGUGAGUAACGCGUAUCCAACCUGCCCACCACUUGGGGAUAACCUUGUGAAAGUAAGACUAAUACCCAAUGACGUCUCUAGAAGACAUCUGAAGGAGAUUAAAGAUUUAUCGGUGAUGGAUGGGGAUGCGUCUGAUUAGCUUGUUGGCGGGGUAACGGCCCACCAAGGCAACGAUCAGUAGGGGUUCUGAGAGGAAGGUCCCCCACAUUGGAACUGGGACACGGUCCAAACUCCUACGGGAGGCAGCAGUGAGGAAUAUUGGUCAAUGGGCGAGAGCCUGAACCAGCCAAGUAGCGUGCAGGAAGACGGCCCUAUGGGUUGUAAACUGCUUUUAUAAGGGAAUAAAGUGAGAGUCGUGACUCUUUUUGCAUGUACCUUAUGAAUAAGGACCGGCUAAUUCCGUGCCAGCAGCCGCGGUAAUACGGAAGGUCCGGGCGUUAUCCGGAUUUAUUGGGUUUAAAGGGAGCGUAGGCCGGAGAUUAAGCGUGUUGUGAAAUGUAGACGCUCAACGUCUGCACUGCAGCGCGAACUGGUUUCCUUGAGUACGCACAAAGUGGGCGGAAUUCGUGGUGUAGCGGUGAAAUGCUUAGAUAUCACGAAGAACUCCGAUUGCGAAGGCAGCUCACUGGAGCGCAACUGACGCUGAAGCUCGAAAGUGCGGGUAUCGAACAGGAUUAGAUACCCUGGUUGUCCGCACGGUAAACGAUGGAUGCCCGCUGUUGGUCUGAACAGGUCAGCGGCCAAGUGAAAGCAUUAAGCAUCCCACCUGGGGAGUACGCCGGCAACGGUGAAACUCAAAGGAAUUGACGGGGGCCCGCACAAGCGGAGGAACAUGUGGUUUAAUUCGAUGAUACGCGAGGAACCUUACCCGGGCUUGAAUUGCAGAGGAAGGAUUUGGAGACAAUGACGCCCUUCGGGGUCUCUGUGAAGGUGCUGCAUGGUUGUCGUCAGCUCGUGCCGUGAGGUGUCGGCUUAAGUGCCAUAACGAGCGCAACCCCUCUCCUUAGUUGCCAUCAGGUUAAGCUGGGCACUCUGGGGACACUGCCACCGUAAGGUGUGAGGAAGGUGGGGAUGACGUCAAAUCAGCACGGCCCUUACGUCCGGGGCUACUCAC